rnacentral:rRNA from 1 species
UACGUAGGGUGCAAGCGUUAAUCGGAAUUACUGGGCGUAAAGCGUGCGCAGGCGGUGAUGUAAGACAGGUGUGAAAUCCCCGGGCUUAACCUGGGAACUGCAUUGGUGACUGGCAAGCUAGAGUAUGGCAGAGGGGGGUAGAAUUCCACGUGUAGCAGUGAAAUGCGUAGAGAUGUGGAGGAAUACCGAUGGCGAAGGCAGCCCCCUGGGCCAAUACUGACGCUCAUGCACGAAAGCGUGGGGAGCAAACAGG